UACAGAGGAGCCAAGCGUUGUCCGGAUUGACUGGGCGUAAAGCGCACGCAGGCGGUCUUUUAAGUUUGACGUGAAAGCUCCCGGCUUAACUGGGAGAGGUCGUUGAAGACUGGAAGACUUGAGGCAAUGAGAGGGUGUAGAAUUCCCGGUGUAGUGGUGGAAUGCGUAGAUAUCGGGGGAAUACCAGUGGCGAAAGCGGCACCCUAGCGUUAGCCUGACGCUCAUGUGCGAAAGCGUGGGGAGCGAACGGG
rnacentral:rRNA from 1 species